UGUUAUGUGGCUUAGUUGGUAGCAUAGCACCGGUCUAGUGAAUACGGAAUCGUGGGUUCAAAUUCCACCAGAACGC
rfam:Aedes albopictus isolate Foshan contig153923, whole genome shotgun sequence.